CUCCCCCCAUUGUCGUCGCCGAUUGGCCGGCGAUGGAUUACUGGCUCGGCUUCUUCCGGGGCGCUGGGGACAACAUCUUCGACGCCAUCGCCGUCGCGGCGUCCGACCACCCCGCCGCGCUCAGGUCGAGGCGGGACGCCUUCGCCCAGCGCCUCUACAUGGUGUACCGUCGGCGGUGCCUCCCACGGGGGGCACCGCCACCGAGGCGCCGCUGCCGCAGCUGCUCCACCCCGAGGGCGCCGCCAGCAUACCUAGCAUCUGUAGCUCCGACCGCGCCGAUGUCAUCGCCGACGACGGCGGCGUCCCUUGCCGCGAGGACCCCGUCGCCGCUGAGACCGAGCGCAUCAAGGACGUCCUCCUCAACGACCAAGAAAGGCAGUCGCUGCCGCUGCCGGACACCUUGACAGUGAGGCGACCGCUGCCGCAUCCAUUGAUCCAUUCGUCCAUGCCAAACCAGCUCAUGUGUUGACUAGGUGUUCAUGCUGAUUCGUCUUGCAAGUUACUGAGUUUGGGAAAGUGGUGAGCAGCUACCAGAAGCACAACUCCAAGCAGAUUCGUCACCUUGUUCAAUUGCUCAUCGAAGGUUGGAAGUGCAUACUCGAUGAGUGGAUGAGCAGCUUGACGCCAUUGUAGUGCAUUGGAUGGAAUUGUUACUUUGUGGCAAGUGCAACCAAAAGGACCAGCCAUCUCCUUGCUUAGCACAACAAAUUGCUUUUCUCCUAAGCAUAGGUGGCCUGAAGAUGUAGCUUGGCAUCCAGGUGGUGAAUUAAUUUUUGCUAUGUACAGUGCUGAUAACGGCGACUCUCAAGUUUCAGUGAUGAAUCGUAGCAUAUCAGGACAAAAGAAAGUUAGUUUUCUACCAGUGAAGCCUCAUAGCAACGAAAUUAUUAACAACAUUAAUUUCAUGCUUUGUGACUGGUGGAAGUGACCAUGCUGUCAACAAAAAGAUGAUUCAUGGAACCACACGAAAGUGCACAAGGAUUUGCAUUCUUCUGCUGUCAUGGGUGUUGCUGGAUUACAGCAAAAAAAAUGCAAUAUUAUCAGUUGGCAGUGACAAGAGGAUUAUACCAUUUGAUCUGGCAGCUGGAAGGGCAGGGUCCAAGAUUGUAUUACAAAUCCAUUCGAUUUCAACUUGUUAUGAUUGUAGUCUUAUAAGAUUGUUUUCCUUCUUUGUCCCAUACCUACUCUGCUAAAAAAAGAAGGCUAGCAUGACGGUCGCAUCCUAAUAGUCGACGGCUUAGUUUUCUGUAGAGGACGCGGCAAAACGCAUCUGGCCAUCUGAUGUGGCUAAUGGCUCGCUAUUCAUAACCUAAAUAAACGAUUCUCUGAUCUUGCGUUUGCCUA